ACGACGGGCGCGGGAGAGCACCGCGCGAGCGGUCGCCGAAGGAGCAAGGUGGGCAGCGCCAAUGCCCGCACGAAUCUCUCAGGCCCCCGAACUGCGCCCCGACG
rnacentral:ncRNA from 1 species